rnacentral:rRNA from 1 species
GACGAACGCUGGCGGCGUGCUUAACACAUGCAAGUCGAGCGGUAAGGCCCUUUCGGGGGUACACGAGCGGCGAACGGGUGAGUAACACGUGGGUGACCUGCCCUCAGCUCUAGGAUAAGCCUGGGAAACCGGGUCUAAUACUGGAUAUGACUCCAUGACGCAUGUUGUGGGGUGGAAAGCCUUGUGCGGCUGAGGAUGGGCCCGCGGCCUAUCAGCUUGUUGGUGGGGUGANGGCCUACCAAGGCGACGACGGGUAGCCGGCCUGAGAGGGCGACCGGCCACACUGGGACUGAGACACGGCCCAGACUCCUACGGGAGGCAACAGUGGGGAAUCUUGCGCAAUGGGCGAAAGCCUGACGCAGCGACGCCGCGUGAGGGAUGACGGCCU